rnacentral:ncRNA from 1 species
AAAAUCUAUAUGAGAAAAUUUCAUAUAUAAAUAAAUUUUUAUGAUUUAAAAAAAUUUAAUUUAAAUUUAUUUUACAUGUAAAUUUUAGUGUUAAUUUUUAAUUAUUUUAAUAAUAAUUAUUAAUAUUUGCAGUAAUUAAAAUUAAAAAUUUAAGAAAUUAAGAUUUAGAAAUAUUUUGAUUAUUAACAAAUUUUGUGCCAGCAGUUGCGGUUAUACAAAAAAUAAUUUAAAUUUUAUUGGUAUAUAAUAAAUAAGAAUUAUUAUUUAAAUUAAAUAUUAAAUUAUUAAGUGAAAUUUUAAUUUAAUUAAAAUUUAUAUUAAUUUUAUGAUUUAUUAAAUUUUAUAAAAAACUAGGAUUAGAUACCCUAUUAUUAAAAAUUAAAUUUAUAAUACUAAAAUAGUAGAUAAUAAUUUAUUGAAACUUAAAUAAUUUGGCGGUAUUUUAGUUCAUUUAGAGGAAUCUGUUUAAUAAUUGAUAAUCCACGAAUAAAUUUACUUAAUUUAUUAUUUUGUAUAUCGUUGUUAAAAAAAUAUUUUUUAAUAAAAAUAAUAUUUAAAAAUUUUUAUAUAAAAUUAAUUCAGAUCAAGAUGCAGAUUAUAAUUAAGAAUAUAAUGGAUUACAAUAAAUAAAUUUAAAUGAAUAAUAUUUUUUAAUAAAUAUUUGAAGGUGGAUUUAAAUGUAAUUUUAAUUAAUUUAUUAAAAUGAUUAUAUAUUAAAAUAUGUACAUAUUGCCCGUCGCUUUCAUUAAUAAAUUGGAAUAAGUCGUAACAAAGUAGAGGUACUGGAAAGUGUUUCUAGAAAGAA